CAAAAACAUGUCUUUUUGAAUUAUAUAUAAAGUCUAACCUGCCCAAUGAAAAUUAAAUGGCCGCAGUAAUUUGACUGUGCAAAGGUAGCAUAAUCAUUAGUUUUUUAAUUAAAAGCUCGUAUGAAAGGUUGGACGAGGUAAAUUCUGUCUCUAUUUAAUUUAAAUUAGAAUUUAAUUUUUAAGUUAAAAAGCUUAAAUAUUUAUAAAAGACGAGAAGACCCUAUAGAGUUUUAUAAUUAUAUUAUUAAAAUUAUUUUAGUUUAAUUAAAGUUUUAAUAUUAUAAUUAUUUUAUUGGGGUAAUAGAAAGAUUAAAUAAAUUCUUUUUUUUUAUUAACAUAAAUUUAUGAAUAAAUGAUCCAUUUUUAAUGAUUAUAAGAUUAAGUUACCUUAGGGAUAACAGCGUAAUUUUUUUAGAGAGUUCAUAUCGAUAAAAAAGUUUGCGACCUCGAUGUUGGAUUAAAGAUUAAUUUAGGUGUAGAAGUUUAAAUUUUUGGUCUGUUCGACCAUUAAAUCUUUACGUGAUC
rnacentral:rRNA from 1 species